GGGUGGUGGUGCAUGGCCGUUCUUAGUUGGUGGAGUGAUUUGUCUGGUUAAUUCCGUUAACGAACGAGACCUUAACCUGCUAAAUAGACACGCGAACCGGUCCGCAAGGGCUCAAAGUUCGCGGCUCGACUUCUUAGAGGGACUAUUCGCACCCGCCAGCGAAUGGAAGUUUGAGGCAAUAACAGGUCUGUGAUGCCCUUAGAUGUUCUCGGCCGCACGCGCGUUACACUGACGGAGUCAACGAGCGUUUUUCCUUGCCCGACAGGGCUGGGUAACCUCCUGAAACUCCGUCGUGAUGGGGAUAGAUCAUUGCAAUUAUUGAUCUUGAACGAGGAAUUCCUAGUAGGCGCGAGUCAUCAACUCGCGCCGAUUACGUCCCUGCCCUUUGUACACACCGCCCGUCGCUCCUACCGAUUGAACGGUCCGGCGAGAACUCCGGAUGGU
rnacentral:rRNA from 1 species